AACUAUUCCUUCAUACAAAGAUCAACAUAAUUCUGGAAAUUUCCAAAGAGAGAGAGAAAGGGAGUUCUUGAGAAAAAUCCCAAAUCCGACCAAAAUUAAGUCCCGAAAUCCGAAGCUCAUGAAGAGAAAAUUGUUGUACGUCGUGUUGGCUUCAAUUUGAGCUAGAAAUCAACCAAUAAGGAGAAGAUUUUAUGUGGUGCUGCAAAUUCAAGGUUGAGACAAUAUUGGACAACGUAUACGUAUAAACGCUAAAGGUACAGAUACUUAUUUUGGAGAGCCGCCACCUUAGGAUUCUACUCAACGGGUUGAAGUGCUCCAUUGUCUCGGAGCCUAAACUUUUGGUACUAAUCCUUAUAAUGUAUAUAUUUGUGUAUUUUGGGGGUACGGCGGGGCCCUGUCUCGUCAUAUGCUAUUGUUAAUCCUCUUAGAGGUCUGUAGACACAUGAGUGGGUUGUAUGUAGAUAUUGUCUGAUGUACUAGUAUGGCAUAUGUUUUUGGACAUUUACAUUCGGAGUGAAAGCCUUGUCGGCUUACGUAUUAUGUUAUCUUAUUUUUGACAAUUAAGACUCCCCAAGAAAUAGCUAAUUUUGGUAUAUAUAUAAGUGACAGUUUGAGACAA